rnacentral:rRNA from 1 species
UACAGAGGGUGCAAGCGUUGUUCGGAAUUACUGGGCGUAAAGGGCGCGUAGGCGGCCCGCUAAGUCGAACGUGAAAUCCCCAGGCUCAACCUGGGAACUGCGUCCGAUACUGGGAGGCUUGGAUUCGGGAGAGGGAUGUGGAAUUCCAGGUGUAGCGGUGAAAUGCGUAGAUAUCUGGAGGAACACCGGUGGCGAAGGCGGCAUCCUGGACCGAGAUCGACGCUGAGGCGCGAAAAGCUAGGGGAGCAAACGGGG